AACGUAGGAGACAAACGUUAUCCGGAGUUACUGGGCGUAAAGGGCGUGUAGGCGGUUUGUUAAGUCUGGCGUGAAAGCUCUCGGCUAAACCGGGAGAGGUCGUUGGAUACUGGCAAACUUGAGGACGGUAGAGGCGUGUGGAAUUCCGGGUGUAGUGGUGAAAUGCGUAGAGAUCCGGAGGAACACCAGUGGCGAAGGCGACACGCUGGGCCGUACCUGACGCUAAAGCGCGACAGCAUGGGGGGCAAACGGG
rnacentral:rRNA from 1 species